GGGGGGAGGCUGGAUCCUGGGCUGUGUCCCAGUGCUCUGUGCUCCGGGGCCUGCGCUGUUGGACUUGCACUCCCGGCUGCACAGCCCCCU
rnacentral:pre_miRNA from 1 species